rfam:TPA: Bos taurus chromosome 14, whole genome shotgun sequence.
UCCCUGGUGGCUCAGACGGUAAAGCGUCUGCCUGCAGUGUAGGAGACCCAGGUUCGAUCCCUGGGUUGGAAA